rnacentral:lncRNA from 1 species
AGUUUCAAUUAAUCUGGACCCCAAGAUCUCUCAAACACUGGACCAUCAUACAGACAGCAUACACCAGCUGAUAGGAGGCCCCCAACACAUAUACUUACCGUAGAGGACUUCCAGGGCUGUGUUCAUUCAGAGAUGAUACACCUAACUCUCCAGAGACUGGAGGCCGCAGGGAGUUUAGAGGAAAAAGAAAGAAUGGGUCAGCAAGUUUGUCUCCACAGGCACUUGCCACCAAGCAUGAUGGUCAUGGUCAAUCCCAGGAUUCCACAUGGUGGAAGAAGAAAGCUGACUCCUGCGGGUUCUCCUCACAUGCACCAAGGCAUUCACACAGAAAUACACUUCAUAUUUCUGGACUACCUACCAGAGAUUCUGCAGCCUUUGCCAUUAAUUUGUUGACCUCACCCAAUUCCUGCUCAUGAUAUGAAAUUGCUGAGAGCUAUGAGGAACAAAGGCAUUGUGCAGACUGGAAAUGCCUGUGGCCAAGAAAAGCAGUGAUUUCUCUGGUGCCAUUCCUCUCAUCAGGUUCUGUCAACUCAACAAGAGCAUUCAAGGAUUUUAUUAAACAAAGAAAAAUGCAAUUAAUGAGCCAACAAAAAUGAUCAGCACCAAAGACUGGAUGUACUCUGAAAAUAAGCAAAGGAGUGAAUUUGGUCAACAUGAGUGCAUUGCAUGGUUAUUUUAAAGGAUGUCACCUAUCAACCUUUUAAAUAAAU